UACGGGGGGGGCAAGCGUUGUUCGGAAUUACUGGGCGUAAAGGGUUCGUAGGUGGCUUGCUAAGUCAGACGUGAAAUCCCUCAGCUUAACUGGGGAACUGCGUCUGAGACUGGUGAGCUUGAGUGCAGGAGAGGAACGCGGAAUUCCAGGUGUAGCGGUGAAAUGCGUAGAUAUCUGGAGGAACACCGGUGGCGAAGGCGGCGUUCUGGACUGCUACUGACACUGAGGAACGAGAGCCAGGGGAGCAAACGGG
rnacentral:rRNA from 1 species